UAACGCGUAGGUAACCUGCCUUGUAGCGGGGGAUAACUAUUGGAAACGAUAGCUAAUACCGCAUAACAAUGGAUGACACAUGUCAUUUAUUUUGAAAGGGGCAAUUGCUCCACUACAAGAUGGACCUGCGUUGUAUUAGCUAGUAGGUGAGGUAACGGCUCACCUAGGCGACGAUACAUAGCCGACCUGAGAGGGUGAUCGGCCACACUGGGACUGAGACACGGCCCAG
rnacentral:rRNA from 1 species